GGAAAGUAAAAGUCGUAACAAGGUUUCCGUAGGUGAACCUGCGGAAGGAUCAUUAUUGUAUAACCGAGGUGCGAGGGCUGUCGCUGACCCGAAAGGUCGUGCACGCCCGAGUGCCCUCACACACAUCCCUCUCACCCCUAUGUGCCCCACCGCGUGGGUCCCCCUUUGGCUUGUUCGGAGGGGGGCUUACGUUUUCACACAAACUUUGUAUGCUGUGUAGAAUGUAUUUUUUGUUUUUGCGAUCACGCAAUCAAUACAACUUUCAACGACGGAUCUCUUGGCUCUC
rnacentral:misc_RNA from 1 species